UUUCAGAGUAAUUUUUGAAACAGAUUCUGUUAUUUUGGAAAGAAGAGAAAAACAAAUACAGUAUGGAAAAAUUACACCUGAAUAUCAGAAAUAUAUUUCUGAAAUACCUAAGCGCAAACGUAGUAAACAUCAUCCUCGAACUCCAAAUAAACAUCGGAAGUACAGUAGACGUUCAUGGGACAAACAAAUAAGAAUAUGGAGGUCACAAUUACAUCAAUGGGAUCCUACUACAAAAAGUAACGAUUUACUUGAUCUUGAUUUAGAAUCUACUGAAAUAGCAAUUGAUACAAAAGAUAAAUGCCUUUCUUCAUUGGAUAACGGAGAAUCAUCUUUAAAGUCUACCACUAGAAUAAAUGAUUCGUCUACAAGUAAAAUUGAUGAAAUAUGUGACAGCAUACAAAAUCUCUCGUUAAAUAAAACCGUAAAAUGAAAUGUAAGAUAAAGAACUGUUAAAUAAAAGCCUAAAUGUCUAAGCUAAAUAAUUUUAUUAUCGUUAUUUUUUUUUAUGUCGGCUGUAUAUUAACAAAUUAAUUUACUUCUGUGUUCUAGUUUAUUCCAACAAUCAUAUUCCUUGUUAUAUUUACAUGUGUAUUUUCCGAAAUCAAUUUACGAAACUCCUGAACUAUGUCGCCAUCUAUCGAUAUAAAUGUUAAUUAUAUUAUUUUAAAAGAUUUAAUUAUAUAAAGAAUAUUUUAAUAAAUUCCAUUGAAAAAUAAUUUAAUUAAU